ACAUCCUAGGACGACUUCUGGAGACAGAUUUCUUCCCUUCGGGGACCUAGUGACAGGUGCUGCAUGGCUGUCGUCAGCUCGUGUCGUGAGAUGUUGGGUUAAGUCCCGCAACGAGCGCAACCCUCGUCCUUAGUUGCCAUCAUUAAGUUGGGCACUUUAAGGAAACUGCCGGUGAUAAGCCGGAGGAAGGUGGGGAUGACGUCAAGUCCUCAUGGCCCUUACAGGCUGGGCUACACACGUGCUACAAUGGCAACUACAGUGGGCAGCUAUCCCGCGAGGGUGAGCUAAUCUCCAAAAGUUGUCUCAGUUCGGAUUGUUCUCUGCAACUCGAGAGCAUGAAGGCGGAAUCGCUAGUAAUCGCGGAUCAGCAUGCCGCGGUGAAUACGUUCCCAGGCCUUGUACACACCGCCCGUCACACCAUGGGAGUUGGAUUCACCCGAAGGUGGUGCGCUAACCCGCAAGGGAGGCAGCCAACCACGGUGGGUUCAGCGACUGGGGUG
rnacentral:rRNA from 1 species